GGUCUGGCUGUGUGGUCUCACCGCAAGGUGAGUACUGCACUGGUCGGGCCUUUCCUUCUGGGUAGCCAGUGUGUUCUUUACUGAAUGCGCUGGGGAUCCAGGACUUUUACCUUGAAAAAAUUAGAGUGUUUAAAGCAGGCCUACGCUUGAAUACAUUAGCAUGGAAUAAUAGAAUAGGACUUUGGUUCUAUUUUGUUGGUUUCUAGGACCGAAGUA
rnacentral:rRNA from 1 species